rnacentral:rRNA from 1 species
UGCCCCAGGCUUUGGGAUAACCCCGGGAAACCGGGGCUAAUACCGAAUAUGACCUUGCACCGCAUGGUGUUUGGUGGAAAGUUUUUCGGCUUGGGAUGGGCUCGCGGCCUAUCAGCUUGUUGGUGGGGUGAUGGCCUACCAAGGCGACGACGGGUAGCCGGCCUGAGAGGGCGACCGGCCACACUGGGACUGAGACACGGCCCAGACUCCUACGGGAGGCAGCAGUGGGGAAUAUUGCACAAUGGGCGGAAGCCUGAUGCAGCGACGCCGCGUGAGGGAUGACGGCCUUCGGGUUGUAAACCUCUUUCAGCAGGGACGAAGCGUAAGUGACGGUACCUGCAGAAGAAGCGCCGGCCAACUACGUGCCAGCAGCCGCGGUAAGACGUAGGGCGCGAGCGUUGUCCGGAUUUAUUGGGCGUAAAGAGCUCGUAGGCGGCUUGUCGCGUCGACCGUGAAAACCUGGGGCUCAACCCCAGGCCUGCGGUCGAUACGGGCAGGCUAGAGUUCGGUAGGGGAGACUGGAAUUCCUGGUGUAGCGGUGAAAUGCGCAGAUAUCAGGAGGAACACCGGUGGCGAAGGCGGGUCUCUGGGCCGAUACUGACGCUGAGGAGCGAAAGCGUGGGGAGCGAACAGGAUUAGAUACCCUGGUAGUCCACGCUGUAAACGUUGGGCGCUAGGUGUGGGGGGCCUCUCCGGUUCCCUGUGCCGCAGC